UACGUAGGUGGCGAGCGUUGUCCGGAUUUACUGGGCGUAAAGAGCGCGCAGGCGGUCGUACAAGUCGCGUGUGAAAGCCCCCGGCUCAACUGGGGAGGGUCACGCGAUACUGUUCGACUCGAAGGCAGGAGAGGGAAGUGGAAUUCCGAGUGUAGAGGUGAAAUUCGUAGAUAUUCGGAAGAACACCAGUGGCGAAGGCGACUUACUGGACACAUAUUGACGCUGAGGUGCGAAAGCGUGGGGAGCAAACAGG
rnacentral:rRNA from 1 species